AUACAUUCUACCUUCAUUGAGGCAAUGUCAUCCAAGAUGGUAAAUAAAACCAUAAUGGACUAAAUUGAUGAGAGGCAUCCUUUCUUUAAGCGGUCCAUAUCUUGGCCACCACAUCAUUUUGAACUAAAAAAGGACUGGUCCAAUAUUGAAGCAUGUAUCGAAUCUGUAUGAUUGUAGUCUUCAUUUUCAUACCGCUCCGUGGGGAUCUCGAAGAAUGCAUUUUUUUAGUCCAAGUAAGAAAGAGAUAGGCAUACGGCAUACCAUCAAGAUCUAUGGGUUCGGCCAUGCAAGAAAUGCGUCCGGGUUCAUUUUUGAAAGAUGGUCCCCAAUUUUCCCAUGGUAUAACCAUUCUGAUAACGAGCAUAGUUUACAGCACUGAUCCCUUCUCGUUCAGGUAUUUGUGUAAGUGGACCGAUCUUCUUCGUAUAGAAUUGUCUCCGCUUGGUCCCAUCUAAGUCUAGAUCCUUCAUUACAGAAGUAAUCUUUCCCCUGUAUUUCAUUGAGAUUGCUCAUAUCAUAGAGGGUAAGUGGUAGGCAUUCCACCACGAUUUCGCGCGAACCCCCUGCUGAAGGGAAAAGCAGGAUGAGGAGUAUACCGGAUUACUGGAGAGGCAGGGUCUAACUCGAAGAUUUUCAAGUCUCCUCAUACCAAUAUGAAGGAUAUCGUUAUCAGAUGGAUGAGUGAGUACAGAGUCUUCAGUUUCUUUAUGAAGCCUUGUUGAGACAGGUGAUUCAGAGAAUGGCAGGAAGAACGGUUGAUCAUUCAGAAUACCCCGGCAGAGACCCCCAAUGGUGCCAGUGAAAACUGUCUGCAUUAGGAAUGGUUGUUCUAAGAGAAGGUCAUACUCGAAUCCUUCAACGAUGAUGCUGCUUAGCUUAAGGCUUUUACUUCCGAUGUAGAUAAAGACUCCAUGCACGAUGUUCGUAGCCUUAAGGGUAGUACCAUCUGGGGUGAAAAUCCCCGAACCCUUUCUCUGCUAGUAUUUUCGUCGGACCAGUUUUGAAUGGAUACAGUUGAGGUCGGAUCCCGAGUCGACGAGUGUUCGACAAUUCUUGAACCAGCGUCCUCGUAUCUUGACAUCUACUUGUACGAUCCAUCCAUCGUUGUGAUACAAAAAGUCUUUCAUCUUAUUCCUAAGGAAUAGCUCGAUGAAUAGGCGUAGAUGAUUCCACAUGUAUUCUUUCCUUAUCAGAAAGUUUUUCCUGGUAAAAGAAAUUCCAAGUAGGAUGAUUUUGACGUCGGUGCCGUCGAUGCGAAGUAGAGUGUCACCAAAGACGACGAUUGUCCUCACGCAAGAAGUGUAUAGCAGAGUGUAGUUCCAUGAUCAACCGGCGUUGAUCAGCGCAUUCGUUUUUGACUUCUAGAAGUUUGAGUUCAAGGUCUGCCAGAGAUAAUGGUUUGGUAGCUCGCCCUUGCGCUUGCAUGAGUUCAUCUACUCCUUUCAUAGAAGCAAAGAACUCAGUAGGAACUUGCUUCUUCUUUUCCUUCUUCUUCUUGGCAGGUCCAUAACUUGCUUCUGUGAUGCAUCGCUGUUGAGGAAUGGAUGAAUUAAUCCCAUCAUAGCGAUCAUCUUGGAGCUGUCAUCAGAAGAAGGUGACCCUUGUGAGUCGAUUUCAUCAUCACUAGAUGACUCUUCUAAGCAUGGACAAGAGUCAUUGGAUGAAUCACUAUCUGAAUCAGAAGCACUUUCUGAGCAAGAUCCUUGAAAUCCUAUCCUGGCUCUAGUAACACGAUUGGGUUGGGGAAUUCUCAUAUUCCGAAAGCUCACGAUGGUAGAGAUUUGAAGAAUCCUACUCUACUAGCCCUAAUCUUAGUCUUAGUAGUAGGAUAAGCGGCAUCACUAUAUCGUCUUGAUAUUUUCCCAUGAUGCAUCCUAGGAGAGAAUGAUGUUUGCGCGCUGGUUUCCACCAUUCUCUUCACGUAGAGCUUAUUUACUCUUUCCGAGCUCUUUCUUUUGAUCUUGUAAUGCUUUUUAUUUCGUUCUCUAAAGAAGAGAUACCUAACUCUCUAGGGUUGCAGUUGGAUCAAGAAGGCCGAAAGCCAGGCAGUAAAGCUCACGUUGUCGACCUCUUGUCCGUCAGUGAGUGAUUCCUCGUAUGUGUAAAGACGGGUAGACCGUCUCAUCUCUUUCCCAAAAGUGGUGGAUCGAACUUCGAUCAUGUCACGAGAGUGGAUUCAGUUGGUUCCAUCGGUCAUUCUGCGAACCUGACAGCUUGGUCAAUGAAAGUGGGGUCAGUUUCACUCUUCUUCGGAGCUUGAAAGUAUAAGAGUCUCAUGUACUUUCUUAUGGAACUAUUGCUUCAAAGAAUCAUCCUCAAGAAUUACAACAUUGGCUUCUUGCUCAUCAAAGGCUCAGGCCCUUAUUUUUAUAAAACCAAAAGAACAAUCUAAUGAUGGACAGCUUGCAUCAGUGCUCAG
rnacentral:lncRNA from 1 species